rnacentral:lncRNA from 1 species
AAAAGAGUGAUUGGAGACGUGGAGACAUCAAUGGGGCCCAAUGGGACGUAUGGGGGCAUGGAGGACUCCAAUGGGGACCCAAUGGGGCCAUGGGGAACCCAAUGGGACACUGGGACAUCAUGGGACCCCAAUGGGACAUGGAGGACCCCAAUGGGCCGUGGGGACGUCCCCAUGCAGUCCCUGCUGCAGCUGGCCGCAUUGCUGGCCGG